rnacentral:rRNA from 1 species
AUUGUAGGCUGAAACUACGCCUAUAUGAAGUCGGAAUUGCUAGUAAUGGCAGGUCAGCAUACUGCCGUGAAUACGUUCCCGGGCCUUGUACACACCGCCCGUCACACCAUGAGAGUUGGGAAUACCCGAAGCCUGUGAGCUAACGUAAGAGGCAGCAGUCGAAGGUAGAAUCAAUGAUUGGGGUGAAGUCGUAACAAGGUACC